rnacentral:snRNA from 1 species
CCCGGCGAAACUCUCUCCGA